GUAACAUAAAAACAGGGGAAACACAGAUAUCUAUAUGUAAAUAGUUCUCAAACUGGUAUCUGGCUAGUAACAAGCCACAUAGAGCUUCUUGAAGAAGAGAAUACCUACCAACCUUGUCUAAGAUAUUCGAGAUUAAUGAACUGCAUCUUAAUGAAUCUCUACAGAAAAAUGUUUUCAGUUUCACUUUUAAGAUUUUUUACAGUACAACUGUUGUGACCCUAGAUCUUAACCUCAGAGAGAAAUUUGUUUUCUUUUACUCAGGAAUCACAAUGAGUUGAGCUAGCGUGGACAGUACAAGGUUCUUAACGUUUCCUAUAUGAUCAGUCUCAUGAUUCUGAAAAAUGGGACCCAAUGCACUAACCUUUAACAUCUCACUGCUAGAAGACACUAUUACUAUUGGUGAGUUCCAUCACGUUAUUGGUUGAGAUUAAAUUAAACGUACCUUGAAAAGUUCAGUUUCUCUCCUUAUGGAAGAUGUACGCCAACCAACCAUGUCUAGUUGAAGUAAAAGAAAAACGAAUGCA